AUGUGGGGAGAUUAAUUUAGCAGGUUGAUUUACACUAUGUAGGUGGGUUUGUUCCAGGCAGAACAGCUCCCCCCCUCCCCCAGCAUAUGGCCAGGGUUGGUGGAUAAAGGCUUGGGUGGGGUCUGGUUAAAAGUCACAAUUCCUUAAAGACGUGAAACAGUGGCAACAACAGCCAGCAAAGCAAUUAAUGGCUGGGGAAGGGUUUAAAGCAGGCAUCCCCAAGCUUCGGCCCUCCAAAUGUUUUGGACUACAACUCCCAUCAUCCCUGACCACCGGUCCUGUUAGCUAGGGAUCAUGGGAGUUGUAGGCCAAACCAUCUGGAAGGCCGCAGGUUGGGGGGUGCCUGGCUUAGAGCUUAAGAAAAAGGAAGACCAAUGAACAACUAGAGCUGGGGCAAAACCUCACAUAACAACCUACAGGCAGGAGGGGCUGUGUGAGCUAUUAGUAUAGCAGUGGACAGGAAGGGAAGAUGGAGAUCUGGUGGGUCCAAGAUCCAGGUUUUCCAGAAGCCAGGAAAUUCUGCCAGAAGUGGCUUCACCUGCCACUAUAGCCCUGUGCUGGAAAAGGAGCUGAAAUGAUGAGUAUGUAAAAUUGAGAUGAGGAGCAGCUGUUAAUGGCUCUGGGCUUCUAGCACAGCAAUGGCAGAUUUGUCUUUGGAGAGACACAGCUGAAUAUGGGGAGUGUGGGUGGGUUAGGUUAGGCAAUGCAACAGACUAGGCCGAAUCCCUUUUCUUCAGAGGCAUAUAGCCCACAGAUGAACUGAGGUUAGUAGUAGUCUGUAUUUUUAAUAAGAUAAAGAGGUCGGGUUUUUUGGUGGUAGCAAUAUAGUUUAUGGCUCAUGGCAGCUGAAUGGAGGCAGCAUCUCAGCUUUCUACAAACGAGUUCAAACCCCAUUGAAGCAGUUUGGUCUGAGGCGCUUUGUAGGCCAUCAAAUUUGGCUCCAGGUUUACCAGAGUCUGCUUCAUUGAGAGACAAAAAACAGCGUCUUUUUAUAACGUCCUGAUCUCAUGGGUCACAGAUGAUUCCGGCAGCACUAUUGCUUCAUCUCAACUCUCAGAAGCCCCAGCAGGUGCAUCAGAAAACCAUCUGCAGCUAUUCUACUUGGACAUAAAUCAAGCAAAGGAAUUUCCUUUCCACUGCUCCCGACUUCUGUAGGAUAAAGCUUUCUGCAAGUUACUGCAUCUUCUUUGGAUUCCUACCCGGAGCCCCUUUUUCCUGAGUCAGAGC